UACGGGGGGUGCAAGCGUUAUCCGGAUUCACUGGGUUUAAAGGGUGCGUAGGCGGGCAGGUAAGUCCGUGGUGAAAUCUCUGAGCUUAACUCAGAAACUGCCAUGGAUACUAUUUGUCUUGAAUAUUGUGGAGGUGAGCGGAAUAUGUCAUGUAGCGGUGAAAUGCUUAGAUAUGACAUAGAACACCAAUUGCGAAGGCAGCUCACUACACAAUUAUUGACGCUGAGGCACGAAAGCGUGGGGAUCAAACAGG
rnacentral:rRNA from 1 species